rnacentral:misc_RNA from 1 species
UCGUACUACCGUGGGGUGCUGGGGGUUGUCGCUGGCCUUCUCUUCUGCAGGCCGUGCACGCCUCUCUGGCACUCUCGCUCACAUCCACAUCACCCUUUGUGCAUCACCGCGUGGGCUUUCCCUUCUUAAAAGAAGGGGGGGCUUGCGUCUUCACACAUACACCCCUUUAUGAAUGCAACAGUGUAGAAUGUAACUCGAUAAACUUAAUA